GGGUGCGAUCAUACCAGCACUAAUGCACUGGAUGCCAUCAGAACUCCGCAGUUAAGCGUGCUUGGGUGACCCGCUGGGAAGUCCUCGUGUUGCACCCCU
rnacentral:rRNA from 1 species